UCUUCGUAAAGCUUUUCUCGGUGACUUGUAUAGUGGCACUUCUUACAUCAAAUGGAAAGGAUCCAUGCCAGGCCUCGUUUUUCCUCCCCAUGCUGAUUCCAGUCCAGUGGACCAUCACAGUCAGGAAACUUCUAGCUGCCUGGUCUUCUAAGAGAAACUCCAUUCUUUGAUGACUGAUGGAAAAGCCUCAUCACCCCCCCCCCCACUGCUUAAGAACCCCUUAUCUUAAUCACCAGCCAAUAAUCAGUGAUCACUGUUACCAAAGCUCCAAGGUGCGGAUGAUGCAACUUCCUGGAUGGUGUGUAGGCUGUUUGUCAACAUGUGAAUCCCACGUGCAUUUCGGG